UUUCAUUCAUCUCUCUCGUUCUUUACUUUGUAUUUCAAACAAUGUCUAGGCAAGAACAUACACGAAGGCUGCUCCAGCCACGCGUGCGCCUCCAUCGCUGGCCACAUGCAGCACGUGAGUUUGUACUUUGUAGCCCAAGUUGACCAAUAGCUUGCUCCGAAUCAGCUCGUCGCGACCCAGUCCGAGUGCCUCUGACCUUAGAGCAAGGGAGUCCGGUGAAGGAGCUAUGUACCAAGGCAACGGUCCUCUGCUUCUUAGAAAGAUCAGGACCCUCCAUCGGUCUGAGCAAAGACAUUCUACCUUCCAGAUCGAAGUGAUUGUGCUGAUUCUGCUGUUUCGUGCCCGAGGAAAAAGAUGGAGAACUUUGAGGAGAAGCCGGUUGAAGACAAUUUCUACUUAUUUACUGAGGUAUUUUUUGGCUCAUACAGUUGUGUUAUAAUUCGAAUGAUUCGUUGCAAGUGUCAAGUGGAUACAGCGCACAUUGCACACUACUUACAUCCUUGCAGUUGAAAUUGAGAUCACUAGUAGUAUGUGUUUUGUUAGGUGCCUGUUUCAUGUCAAUGCUCGUCAUAUACAAAUACAGAUUGGUACCACAUACAUGUGCUUAAGUUACCACAUUUGCUCCCAUGUUACCACUCAGACCCUCUUUCUGAGUACUUGAGUGAAAAGGAAAAGGACACAAUCCAUCAUUUUUUUAGUCCUGAAGCAAGUAUGCGUUGGCUAUAGAAAGUUCACCAAUUUUUCUUCAGUCCACAACGUCCAAAGAAAAUAUAGCGGUCGCAUAAGCCUGAAAUUGUCAUCAGUGUCUUACACCAAUAGUACAGGAGCACUAUGUAAAUUAUUGACAUAUAUUGAAAUGUACCGGGCCUUGUUAUAUCAGCAACAGGGAGUCAGGGACAUACAAAGAUGUUCCUAAAUUCAGUAAUAACUGAAACAGAUCAGAAUCACUCUGUACUCUUACAUCAAGUGUUCCUAAAUUCAGUAAUAACUGAAACAGCUCAGCGUCACUCGUAGUCUUAAAUCAAGAAUAUUGAUUAACAUACUACAUAUUUAGAGUAUUUAGCUCGUACCACUGGGCAGCAAAAAAAGGACUGCAAAAAUUAGCAUGAACCCAGAACUGCACGCUCAUGUUUCCCUGACCUGCAGGUAGCUCUCUUGUCAACCCAUUUUACUUUGGGUCACAAAUAUUUCUAACCUUCAAGUAAUUAUUAUUUCCACUGAUACAUAGUACAGUAGUAAGUAGUUUACAAACCAACACAAGAGGGAUAUUCAUUCACAUUGUUUGCCUUACCUACUGCUAACGACACGCACAUUCACUACACUCUCUACUUCAUCUCCUGCACAAAUAAGUAUCUCACACUUGUCAACAUGAAGCCAGGAUGCCUCUCAGUUUUGGUUCAUAGGUUUCGUACAUACAUCGAUUUGACUCAAAUAUGUUGCACCAUAAUUACCAAAUACUACCUGUCUAUAUGUUCCAUACAUCUACCUCAUUGAACCCAUUGUAGAUAUAGUAAUUGUAGACUGUUAAACCAGUAAUAACAGGAGUCUAUUUUAGCUGGAUAUUUGCGGAUUCAGUUGCGCAGAUUGCUGAAGAAAAUCUAUAGACAUAAAUUGGGUGAGGUAAGAGAACCCGCAAUGGUAGGAAUCCAUAAAGGAAUGACAAUGGUCAAAAUAACAAUGCAAAUUACCUGCAUGUCAUAGCAAAUAUUCAGCAAUGUUAUUACUAAACUGACAACAGGAUUUUUGGUUGCAGUCAAUAAUUAAAAGCUAAAUAGAUCAUAGAAGAGAUGGUUUCACCGUAUUUAGACAUUGGGCUUUAAACCUCAUCUUGGUGACUUAUAUUUUAAUAAAAGAAAGGAUAAUAUUUUCCUAUUAAAGGUUAACACAUAAUUUUUUCACAGGAUUUCUUCAAGAAAGAAACACAUAGGAUGGAAAUUAGAAACUGACACCUGCUCCGAUCAAGAAGCGACUUAAAUUUUCCACAGGAUUUCUUCAAGAAAUAAACAUGUAAAUAGACAAAAGUUCCUCACAACAACCAAGAAAGAUUGCAGGUAAGCAUUAUGAAAUUCAGCUUGGUACUUGUGCCACAAAUACUUUCCUAUUAGGAUGGAAAUUAGAAACAUAGACAAAGACUGAAGGUUUGGAAUAUCGACAAAGACUUAGCCAUGGACAGGGGUGCAUGGAAGUUAGCUAUCCACGUUCCAGAGCCAUGACUUGGUUUCGAGAUCUUAUGGGUUUCAACUCUAGCCUACCCAACUUGUUUGGGACUGAAAGGCUUGGUUGUUGUUGUUGUUGUACUUGUGCCACAAAUAAACUACAGUAUAGAACAAAAGCUUGAACAAUAAUAUACCAUUUUGAUGCAAAGUUGCAUCAAUUAGUCUAGAUAACCAUAAGUAACAAUGAGUGCUCCUAAGAGAACCGUGGAAGCCAGCAUAUAUUGUCCCUUGCUCCUUUGUCCAUCUAUUGUAAAAUUCACUUCUAAAAUAACAAAGAAAUUGUAAGGCAUACAUGUAACUGUGUUCUGCAUGUACAGAAAUACUUCAUUUUUAAAGUCGUACCGUAUCUCGUAAAUUUUUAGUCACUUGGUUUAGUUAUGUAGACAUGGCGUUUUCAUUGCCAGUUUCUAGUAGUGACAAAGGAAGGUUGAGUAACUACAACAGUCAGACCGAUAAUAUCUGUGAAUCCACAUAACAAUUAGUAUUCAGUUUGUGCACCUAAUUUAGAUGUUGUAAAUCGAGGCUAUUGACAAGUGGCCUAACCUUACAACAUAGUAUUUUGGUCGGUGUGAGUGCUUUCUUAGUUUGGUUGGUACUAAAUCCUACAGAAUGCACAUAUGGGCAUCAUGUUGUAUGUAAAACAAUAGAUAGCCUGAUGAACAUCAAUCAAACUGAAAGUGCCCAGCAGGAUAAAAUAUAGAAAUAUACCUGAUUUAUUAGUUAGCAUAGUCUUUGCUUCAGUUACCGUGGCAUCAGGAUCCUGUAGGUGUCAAUGAUGGAUGGUUUGAAAACUGCAAAAACGGUACACUCAAGUGAUUGUGAUCCGGGUAAUUCAGAAAAAGAAGCAGCACAAAUAAAAACUUCCCUCGACCAUUGUGUCCACCAUCGUCGUCACCGGCUCACCGCCAUUGAUUUUGAGGUUGCCUCCUACUGGCUUGCCACCUCUUGCCAAUCUAACCUUCGGCGAGUAAACCAUCAAAAAAUAGUGAAGAAAUAGAGAUUUCUAUGCUGCUCCACCACAAAACGCAGGUCUAUCACGAAAAAAAAAAGAAAUCACGGGGAAAAUCAGGGUGCUUGAGAAGCCAGAAUUGAAUCCAAGGGAGCUUACUCAGAGGUGGACCUUGGCUAGUAGGUGAUGGGGGAAAUGAAGAACCGGCAGAUUAUUGUGGUGGUGGGAACUGAUCGAGAAGUACUUGCAGUGACCCGUCCGAUGGCGAGGCACGAUGGUGCUCCUCAGGGAAAUAUUUGGGUCGGGGAUGAUCGUGUCGCCUCGGGAGAUGGAAAUCCAGGCCGCCGACACCCCGCACAGAAGGAGUUCCUCCUCAAUCGGCCACGACCUCUGUGUGCACCUCACUAGUUCAUGGUUGAUGACGCAAUGAAGAGGAGAUGAAUGGAAGGGCUUGCUAGGAAGACGACGAAAGAGCAACGUUCGUUCCCGGCGUCGUCAACGCGGCUGAGCUACUUAUAGGGAGGCAAAAAGAGAGGAAAAAAAAUGAAACCCACCAGAAAAACCCAGAACACAACGUGUCCAUCGAUGGCAUAGAGAGUGAACUAUACAACAGGCAAACAUGGCCACAUGCAUGCAUGAACCAUGCAGCGGUGCACAAGACAAAACCAGCCAAUACACCUCUAGAAUAAGUGAAAAAAACCCGAUAUAUGAUUGGCAACAUGUUUGUUGAUCUACCUGAAAACAUAUACUAACUAAUAUUAUGCAAGUAGCGGUCCAAAACUUAAUUCUGAUAGAGAGUCCCUUUAUAAGCUUGGCAUAAUGUCACCAACAUGAGCUAGAUCUGUUGGCCCGGCAAGGAUGGCUUUUAUAGCCGCGUUCGGCAGUGUAGUCGUCGUACAUGAUUUGACUGGAUUCCUAGCGAGAGACUGAGAAGACCGAGCGUCAAAGCGGUGGAGAAGAGUACAAACCGGCAACCUGAUGAAUCAGCGAGUCUGGACAUGCAUGUGCACUACUACCUCCGUUCCUAAAUACAUAUAAGUCUUUUAAACGAUUUUACUAGAUGUCUACAUACGAAGCAAAAUAAAAAAUAUGUCUAUAUACAUCCGUAUGUGUCCAAUAGUGAAAUCUCUACAAAGACUUAUAUUUCCUCCGUUACUAAAUAUAAGUCUUUCUAAAGGUUCUACUAGAAAACCACAUACGGAUGUAUAUGGACGUAUUUUAGAAUGUAAAUUCAUUUAUUUUGAUUCGUAUAUAGACUAUGAGUGAAAUGUCUUAAAAGACUUAUAUUUAAGAACUGAGGGAGUAUUUAGGAACGGAGGGAGUACAUGCAGCAAGUUUCCUUGUCAAAGCGAUGGAGGCAGCAAGUCUGGACAUGCAUGUGCACUGUACGCAACGAGGAGGACAUCCUUGUCAAAGCGGUGGAGACAAUCCAAAACGGUCAAAGCGGUGGAGAAAAGUACAAAGCGGCAGCCUGGUUAAUUAGCGAGUUUGGACAUGCAUGCAUAUCAAUGCACCAUACACAGAGGAACGCAGCGAGGGGAGUGAAAGGUAUAGCCAGAGCCACGUGUUAUUUUCUCGGAGGCACUAAAAAAUGGUUCAAAAAAUCCAGAAAAAAGAAUCCUUGCGGGCUUAGUAGUCUUAGGCCGUGUUCGGAUUUCCUCCGCUCCCCGACUCUGCGCCGGAGCGGAGUGGCGUUCAGUUAUAAUUUGUGAAGCUGAUCAAAGCGAGCUCUGCGGCUCCGCUCCAAGGGCGUUGCCGAAGAGGCACUUAGUAUAUAACUAGCAAAAGGGUCCGUGCGUUGCAACGGGAGAAAAAAAUACCACACGCUUUUAAAUUUUUUAUAAUCAUUUUGAUUUAUUAAAAUAAUAAGCUAACUAACUAAUGUAGUCAGUCCUAUCCUAUUUUGUUGAGAAAUCAACCCGUCGAUUGUUAAUUCCACCAUGAUGAGAAAUUGAGCGGGACAAGCAAAGCAAAAUAAAGAGGCUACGUGAAUUGAUCAAUGGAUUGUUAUCUUAUUUCACUCAUGGGAUAGAGAAUGUGGGAUCAGGUGACAAACUAAAGGUGGUGUUCCAUUCUCUGUCUCUACAACAAUACAAUCUUACAUUUAAUACAUUCAUUAAUCAGCAAACAAAUCCCCACAAAAUAAAAUUUCUUGCCGGUGUUUGGCACACGGUUAGAGGCAUGGGGAGGGAAUCUCACCAGAUGAUGAGUUCCUGCCGGAGGAGGGGAUACGAUGAGGGGAGCAAGGGUUAGGCGUCUCUAUCUGGCCAUAAGGAGUCGCCGUUGCCGCGCCAUAACCUUGGAGUUCCCCGUGUGAGUCAUGGAGGCCCGCCUCCACAUGCAAGUACUUCGCUCCGUCGCGCCUUAUCCGCACGCCGCCGCCGUUCUGCAUCGAGUAGACGCAUCAUCUCAGUCACUGUAGCUGUCGCAUUGAUUUGAUCGAGAAGUUGUGCUUGAGCGCCGAAACGGGGGCAGCAAGCGGGCAGAGGUACGGCCGCGGAGGCGAGUGGGUUGAGAUCGACAACGGUGGUGGUUGAGGUCGGUCGCGGCGGCGAGUGGUGUGGCAACGGCCUGGGCACAGGCCAGGGUGGACCAGGGUCGACGCGAUGCGCUCGAGCGCCGCAACAGGGGCGGUGAGCGGGGAGAGGUACGGAUGCGGAGGCGGGUGGGUUGAGAUCGGCAACGGUGGCAGUUGAGGUCGGCCGCGGCGGCGAGUGGUGUGGCGGCGGCCUGGGCACAGACCAGGGUAACCCAGGGUCGACGGGAGGAGGCGAUGCGUACGGGUAUAAUUUUUUCAACGAAUCAUUUUUUCUUUUGCGUUCCAGAUAAAUGAUGGAGCGCGGGUUGAAUAACAAAAAUUACAGGUUUUUUUUUUAAAAAUGUCUUGGUGGGUUUUCCAACGAAAACAAUAGCCUCUUUAUUAUUAGAUAUAGAUAUGUAUUUUUUGUUACUACUGCUGAAGUAUUGUAUGUUACUCGCUUUCUGCAAGUUACUAUUUUCCUCACAUCUUGCAUGAAUCUCAAGUUACUAUUUUCCUCACAUCUUGCAUGAAUCUCAUCCAACCAGUACAUGAAAUGGAGGAGCGUCUCAACAGGAAAGUGAAAGAAAGGAAUCAAAUAAUAGCAGAUGAAACCAGAAGCCGUGCGCUUUGAGCUCGUAGAUUGAGGG
rnacentral:lncRNA from 1 species